rnacentral:rRNA from 1 species
ACUGAAUAGAUACCCGGGUAGUCCUGGCCCUAAACGCUGCUCGCUCGUUCUACGGAGUAUCGACCCUCUGUGGGACUAAAGCUAAACGCGGUAAGCGAGCCGCCUGGGUAGUACGAUCGCAAGAUUAAAACUCAAAGGAAUAGACGGGGACUCGCACAAGUGGUGGAUUAUGUGGCUUAAUUCGUCGACAAACGAAGAACCUUACCAAGGUUAGAAAUCCAGCUGCAUCUUUGGUGAAAGCCGAAGAGCCUUCGAGGGUGCUGGACAGGUGAUGCAUGGUCGUCGUCAGUUCGUGGUUUGAACUGUUCCCUUCAGUGGGGUAACGAACGCAACCCCGUUGCCUGUUAUAUAUAUCAGGCGAGACUGCUCCCUCACGGGAGAGGAAGGUGGGGUAUGACGCCAGAUCAGCAUGUCCCUCUGAUACCUUGGGUCCGGCACACAUAAUACAAUGGUCGAUACAGAAGGAUGCGAUACCGCAAGGUGGAGCAAACU